AUGGUACAGGAGGCUCAUAAACGCCACCUCCCCAUGAUUGUGCUCAAACUGGAUUUCAGAAAAGCAUUUGACAGUGUGAGUUGGGACGCUCUGAACCAAAUCAUGGAUUCCCGAGGCUUUGGUGCCAGAUGGAAAUGUUGGAUCAACUGCCUGCUUUCUUCCAGCUCCUCAAGUGUUUUGAUCAAUGGACAAAUUGGGGAAAAGAUUAAACUGCAGAGUGGCCUAAGACAAGGAGAUGCUAUAUCCCCUUAUCUACUCAUUCUCAUGGCCGACGUUCUGCAACAAAUGUGCAUCUCUGAAUACAAUUUGGGGACUCUCCACCAUCCCCUCAAUGUCGAUGGGCAUUUUCCAGUUUUGCAGUAUGCCGACGAUACUUUGUUGCUGAUCAAAGGUACACAGGAGCAAGCACAAGUUAUCAGGAGGAUUUUGGAUGCCUUCUCCGACUUCACUGGACUGCAAAUCAAUUUCAACAAGAGCACCUUUGUGCCAAUAUACAUGGAUGAAACCACUACCAAUAGAGUGGCUGACAUUUUGUAG
rnacentral:rRNA from 1 species